UGUGUUUAUUUUAUAAAAUAGCUUUCUUUUUUGUUCAUUGAAGUAAUUUUCCCAAAUCAAAUCUCAUCAACUUCAUCUCUUCUUUUAAUUUUUAAUUUCCAAACUCAAAUAAAAUUAGCCCUAAUCUCAUUAAUCUUCCAUCUUAACCUAAAAAAUAAAAUCUACAAAUCAAAAAUCAUUGUUCUUAAUGACACCUGGCCUGAAAUCUGGUCAAGGCGGUUGUACGAACUAUCACCACUGUCGGCUACGGAAAAUGCAUACGAAGCCAAAAUCCUUACAUAAUGUUGAAUCUUUUUCCAUCUUCAUAAAAGACCAUAUGAAUCUAACCAUUAUAUAUAUAUAACACCAUGAUUAUAUACCUCUUUUUAUAUAUACAUUCAAUCAAUCUUCAAAGGAAAUUAGGAGAGAAAUUGCCACUAUCAAGAUCUGGGGACAACGGGGAAAUAAGAUACAUCCACCAGUAAUGGGCGAUUCUUCAGUGGUGGUGGUGGCAGCCCAAGUACGACGACGGCGGUGGAAGAUUUGUGAUGCUGGCAUGAAUAUGAAGAAGGAAAUCAAUUUUUUAUGUUUUUGGUUUAUGAUAAUAAAAUGUUUGUUGGUUU